rnacentral:tRNA from 1 species
UCCUUGGUAGCUCAGCUGGUAAAGAAUCUGUCUGCAAUGCAGGAGACCCUGGUUCGAUUCCUGGGUUGGGAA